rnacentral:misc_RNA from 1 species
GAUGAAGAACGUAGCGAAACGCGAUAUGUAAUGUGAAUUGCAGAAUUCAGUGAAUCAUCGAAUCUUUGAACGCACAUGGCGCCUUCCAGUAUCCUGGGAGGCAUGCCUGUCCGAGCGUCGUUUCAACCCUCGAGCCCCCGUGGCCCGGCGUUGGGGAUCUGCCACGGCAGGCCCCUAAAACCAGUGGCGGACCCGAAGGCCCUCUCCUUUGCGCAGUAGCAUCAGCCUCGCAUUGGGAUCCCUCGGCGUCCUGCCUCUAAACCCCCCACAAGUCCGCUCCGGCGGCACCAAGGUUGACCUCGGAUCAGGUAGGAAUACCCGCUGAACUUAAGCAUAUAAUAAGCGGAGGA